rnacentral:rRNA from 1 species
AUGGCGCCGCCGCCGCCGCCGCCGGCGGCGGCGCUCCCGGACGAGCUCGUCGAGGAGAUCCUCCUCCGCCUCCCGCCCGACGACCCCGCCUGCCUCCUCCGCUCCUCCCUCAUCUCCAAGGCCUGGGGCGGCGCCGUCUCCGGCCCCGGCUUCCGCCGCCGCCUCCACGAGCUCCACGGGGCACCCCCAAUGCUCGGCCUCCUCCACAACCAGGCCAGCGAGCCAACCCGCUUCUUCGCCCCCACCACUGCCUCGCCCUUCUCCUUGGCCGCCCCGGACCCCAGCUCCUGGCUGGCCAUCGGCUGCCGCCACGGCCGCGCCCUCUUCCUCCCCAGGAGCCAGGAGGCCAGGAAACUCCUCGUGUGGGAUCCAAUCACGGGCGCCCAGCACCUCGUGCCUGUGCCCGCGGCGUCGGAGUGCCGCUACUUGACUGCGGCGGUGCUCUGCGCGGCCGAUGGAUGCGACCAUCGCGGCUGCCUCGGGGGCCCUUUCCACGUGCUUUUCGUCUUCCCCUACGAGGACCACGGCGAGUAUGGCACGUCGGCGUGCGUGUACUCGUCGGAGACCGGUGCCUGGGGCGAGCCGACCUCGACGCGCGAUAGGUUAAUGGGAUGCAUACAAUAUUCAUCCGUUGUGGUUGGCAGCUCUCUGCUCUACUUCGUCUUGUACGACUACCAGGAGAGUUGGUCGAUCCUGGAGUAUGAUCUGUCAAGGGGCUCCCUGACUGUGUUCAGUGCACCGGAUGUCCACUGCGACUGCCUGUAUAAUCUCAUGCUCACAGAGGACAAUGGGCUGGGAGUAAUCCAACACUUGCAUCCGCAUCUCAAAUUGUGGACAAGAGAGGCGAGUGGUGGCACCAAGGCACGAUGGGCGCUGAGCCGGGUCAUCGACCUGCCCAAUUUGCUCCCAACUAGUGCUUGCUUGGACGAAAGUAAUAGAGUGCUAGUGGUGGGCUUUGCCGAGGGAGCAAAUGCCAUUUUCGUUAGUACGAUUGCUGGCAUCUUCGCAAUUGAGCUGCAAUCUGAGCAGGUGAGGAAGGUGUGCGAUCAAUGUUGCUUCCUUAAUGUGGUUCCAGUUGUCACCUUCUACACUCCCAUGUCCCGACGCAACCACCAAAAUCUGUUGCUGUCGAAGCCUGGUGAGGAGGCAGGUGGUGAGGAGGGUGGAGAGGAGGAGAAAACAGUAAAUCAGGCUCAACAACUGGCCGACCAUGGUUCCAAUGCUAUCAAGGAGGGAGACUUUGUCAACACUUCCGAAAGCAUCCGCCACGACCACAAUAUCAGUUGA